rnacentral:misc_RNA from 1 species
GCACCCCAUGCAUGCUGGCCUCUGAACGACACAAUCUUGACUGAAUUAAACAAAGGAAAAUGUAGUAAGGAAAUGUGGGAUAUAGUAGGUAGUAGAUCACCGUGGAAGCUUAUUGCAUGCUUCCUCCCUCAGCUCGCGCUGCAGUGUGCGUAUGCAUGGGGAAGAGGCCUGCUGGCUGCUCUUGCACUCACCUUUAUUCUGCCGCAAACCAUACUUUCUCAUCAAGCAGCGCAAGGAGCGAAUCCGCUUGUAGCGCAGAGUGUGUUGCAUUCAGUGAUACACCCUGUGAAAACCGUGGGCUUGCAUUGCUCCUGCACUUCCGGUGGACAAAAGGCGGGGUCGGCGUUGCCCGUGCAGAACCCAUCAGCAAAGGUGUCGCAAAGGGUAACACAACUGCCGGAACAAUCACCCAUUACUAGCUUGGGCGCCAUGGGCAGCAGGACCGCCAGCAGGAUGCAGGCAGUCACUGCAGUGGACAUCUUAACCGGGGCGGCGGCACCAGAAGCCAUUGAUGUCGAGGUUGCUAGUAGCUAGAGCACGAGAGAAACUCAAAUAUGCUAGCUGAGCUGAGCCUUACC